rnacentral:tRNA from 1 species
GCCCAUGUGGUGAAAAGGUAGACACGCAGUCUUGAGAGGGCUGUGCCGCAAGGUGUGCUGGUUCAAAUCCAGUCAUGGGCA